CCCUAGCCCUGAUAGAAGCGGCAUCCUUUAGGCAAACGAAAAAAUCUAAAUUAAACCGUGAACAUUCUACCUAAAAAAAAUAUAGCGGAUAGCAGGAAAAAGC
rnacentral:sRNA from 2 species